GACGAACGCUGGCGGCGUGCCUAAUACAUGCAAGUAGAACGCUGAAGCUUGGUGCUUGCACCGAGCGGAUGAGUUGCGAACGGGUGAGUAACGCGUAGGUAACCUGCCUGGUAGCGGGGGAUAACUAUUGGAAACGAUAGCUAAUACCGCAUAAAAUGGAUUAUCGCAUGAUAAUCGAUUGAAAGGUGCAAAUGCAUCACUACCAGAUGGACCUGCGUCGUAUUAGCUAGUUGGUGGGGUAACGGCUCACCAAGGCGACGAUACAUAGCCGACCUGAGAGGGUGAUCGGCCACACUGGGACUGAGACACGGCCCAGACUCCUACGGGAGGCAGCAGUAGGGAAUCUUCGGCAAUGGACGGAAGUCUGACCGAGCAACGCCGCGUGAGUGAAGAAGGUUUUCGGAUCGUAAAGCUCUGUUGUAAGAGAAGAACGAGUGUGAGAGUGGAAAGUUCACACUGUGACGGUAUCUUACCAGAACGGGACGGCUAACUACGUGCCAGCAGCCGCGGUAAUACGUAGGUCCCGAGCGUUGUCCGGAUUUAUUGGGCGUAAAGCGAGCGCAGGCGGUUAGAUAAGUCUGAAGUUAAAGGCUGUGGCUUAACCAUAGUACGCUUUGGAAACUGUUUAACUUGAGUGCAAGAGGGGAGAGUGGAAUUCCAUGUGUAGCGGUGAAAUGCGUAGAUAUAUGGAGGAACACCGGUGGCGAAAGCGGCUCUCUGGCUUGUAACUGACGCUGAGGCUCGAAAGCGUGGGGAGCAAACAGG
rnacentral:rRNA from 1 species